rnacentral:rRNA from 1 species
UACGGAGGAUCCGAGCGUUAUCCGGAAUCAUUGGGUUUAAAGGGUCCGUAGGCGGGCAGUUAAGUCAGUGGUGAAAGUCUGUCGCUUAACGAUAGAAUUGCCAUUGAAACUGAUUGUCUUGAGUUAUUAUGAAGUGGUUAGAAUGAGUAGUGUAGCGGUGAAAUGCAUAGAUAUUACUCAGAACACCGAUUGCGAAGGCAGAUCACUAAUAAUAUACUGACGCUGAUGGACGAAAGCGUAGGUAGCGAACAGG